CCCUUAGAUGUUCUGGGCUGCACACGUGCUACACUGGCAGGUUCAGCGAGCUUCAUGCCCUGAUCUGAAAGGAAUGGGAAAUCUUUUCAAAACCUGCCGUGCUUGGGAUAGAUGUUUGCAAUUAUUCAUCUUCAACUAGGAUUGCCUUGUAAGCGCACGUCAUCAGCGUGCAUUGAAUACGACCCUGUAUUCUGUACACACCGCCCGUCGCUCCUACCGAUUGAAGUUUUCGGUGAGUUGACAGGAGGAUUUUUUUGAAACUGGUUCGCCAGUGGAUUUUAGAUCCAAAUGCCAACGAAUCGAUGGCUUUAGAGGAAGGAGAAGUCGUAACA
rnacentral:rRNA from 1 species